rnacentral:lncRNA from 1 species
AUGGGUCGAGCCCCACGGAAGGCAGUGUGCCAGCCAGGGUCUUUCUGGAUGAAUUCAGUGGCUCUAAGUGGGCAGAAAGAGCUCCAAGACACAGUCAACAAAAGACGCAAAUUAAGUGCCUGCAGAAUUCCUUCUCCCAUCUCCAGAUGGACCAGGUGGCCUGCCCCCCGGGAGCUCCGUGAUCCAGGCCCACUGCCGGGACCUGGCGUCUCUGCCUGUGCAACAAGUCGUGCUGGCCAACCAGAGGGACCCCAAGGAGCAGGACACGGAGGAACCAAAGAAAAGGAGAGGGGGCUGGCCCAAAGGCAAGAAAAGGAAGCCCCUGAGGGACCUUUCUGUUCCCCGCGCUCCUACGACAGGGUACGCGAUCUUCCUAAACGAGCAGAGAAGUCAGCUGAGGGCCGAGCACCCAGAUCUGCCUUUUACAGAAAUCACGAAGAUGCUGGCUGUGCAGUGGGAUCAGCUGUCUCACGAGAAAAAGCGGGGACGAGUACACCAGGAAGUGGCUUUGAGAGCGAGGGCCUUGACUUCUCAGCAACUGACGCGGCACCUUUUGGUGCUCAUGCGGCUGCCGUGCUCUGCCCGGUAAGGAAGGGACAUGCAGCCAGGAGGCCCCUGGCCGCAGCUCAGUGCCUGGUGCCCCGUGCAGGGCCUGCGAGCAGUUCUUCAGUUCCCCGCAUAACAAGAAAGAGCACCUGCCGGGGAGCCAGCACCUGCAGGACCCCACCCGUGACCGGCGCUGCUCUGCUCCUGCACAAACGCAGGCCUUGA